GUCCCAGUUGCGCCGCUUGGCCUGGUCUUAGCGUUUAAGGGGAAUUCCGGGCAGAGGUGCAGUGUUUCAUGACUCUGGGACACCGUGGCGGGACUGGAGAAGUGCUGGUCUCCUUUUUUGGCCCUGACCUUGGCCUCCGCCAUUUCCAGACGCGUCGUACUUUGUCAGGAGCCCAGUGCCUCCGUAAACAGUUCCCUCAACCUGGAAAGUUACCUCCGGCCUCCAAGCUCCGGGAGAGCUGCAGGUCGUCCUUUUAAGCCGGCUUUUCACCCUGCUGAGCCAACCGCGCCCUCUCGGAGCUCUCAGGGAGCUGUUACAACAUCUGUCACAAUAAACGAGUGCCCCUUACCUCGGCUCGGCAUCCCGGGCUGCUCGCAGAGGAGCUGGGACUCCAUUCCAAAGAUUCGGUUUUUAGCCCUGUUCUGUCCAACACUUGAAAUGCCCGGAUCCAAGCUCCUAGCUCUUCGUUUUAUUGUACACCGACCAAUCCCAAGUAUUUGCCUGUAACUUUGAUCAGUUCUGCGAACUCUUAGUUUCCUAUAAAGGAUAGUCUCCUUAGCCUUCCAGUUGGAAUGUAAGAGUUCUCUCUCUUUUUUUUCUUCCACAUUGAUUCUUUGUUUUUGAAUCACUGAGGAUUGAACUCUGGGGCGUUCUACCACUGAACUAUGUCUCCAACCUUUUUUCAUUUUUUUUUUUUUUUUUUUGAAAUUAGGUCUCACCAACUUUCCAAGGCUGGAAACUUGUCCGCCUCCUGAGUGGCUGAAAUUUACAGGCUUGCGCCACUGUGAACCUGCUUCAAUAGGUUUUACUGGAUUCACAGGCAGAGGGAUCUUGUUCAAAUCUAAUUUUACUGGAUUCACAGGCAGAGGGAUCUUGUUCAAAUCUAAGUCAGGUCAUGUCCCUCCUCUGCUCACUAAUCUGAUUCCAUGUCACACAAAAGGAAAAACAAGACUCCUUAUUUUGGCUUCUUGUUAUCUCCUUUCCCCAUUCAGUUGCAUUUCUCACCUCUGUACACAGAACUUUCACACUUAAUUCCGAUCUGUGCCCCUGUCACCUCCAGAGAUGGCUUUCCUUUCUGCCCUGUUUAAAAUAUUGCUACUUGCUGGAAUCGGUGGCUUGGGAGUCUGAGGCCAGAGGA
rnacentral:lncRNA from 1 species